UACGGAGGGUGCGAGCGUUGUCCGGAAUCACUGGGCGUAAAGGGCGCGUAGGCGGUGCGGUAAGUCACCUGUGAAACCUCUGGGCUUAACUCGGAACGGUCAAGUGAUACUGUCGGGCUAGAGUGCAGAAGGGGCAACUGGAAUUCUCGGUGUAGCGGUGAAAUGCGUAGAUAUCGAGAGGAACACCUGCGGCGAAGGCGGGUUGCUGGGCUGACACUGACGCUGAGGCGCGGAAAGCCCAGGGGGAGCGAACGGG
rnacentral:rRNA from 1 species